GAUGAACGCUGGCGGCGUGCCUAAUACAUGCAAGUCGAGCGAACUGUCGGGAACUUGCUCCCAAUAGUGAUCGCGGGAGGGGUGAGUAAAACGUGUGUAACCUGCCUGUAUGACUGGGGUAACUUCGGGAAACCGGAGCUAAUAUCGGAUAACAUAGAAGACACCAUGGCAUUCAAUAGAACGUUGGAUUUUAGCUACCACUUACAGAUGGACCCGCGGCGCAUUAGCUAGUUGGUAAGGUAACGGCUCACCAAGGCGACGAUGCGUAACCGACCUGAGAGGGUGGUCCGCCAACCCGGGACUGGGGCACGGCCCCAGCCCCUUCGGGGAGCAGCCGGAGGGAAUUUUCCGCAAUUGGGCGAAGGCUGGCGGGACCACGCCGGGGGGGGUGAGGAGGCCUUCGGGUUGGAAAACUCUUUUUUUAGGGAAGAAAAAGUAUCGUUCGAAUAGGGCGGUAUCUUGACGGUACCUAACCAGAAAGCCACGGCUAACUACGUG
rnacentral:rRNA from 1 species